rnacentral:tRNA from 1 species
UCCCUGAUGGCUUAGAUGGUAAAGCAUCUGAGUUCUAUGCAGGAAGCCUGGGUUCAAUUCCUGGAUCGAGAA